rnacentral:rRNA from 1 species
GAUGAACGCUGGCGGCGUGCUUAACACAUGCAAGUCGAACGGGAAACCUUUUAUUGAAGCUUCGGCAGAUUUAGCUGGUUUCUAGUGGCGGACGGGUGAGUAACGCGUGGGUAACCUGCCCUAUACAGGGGGAUAACAACCAGAAAUGGUUGCUAAUACCGCAUAAGCGCACAGGGCCGCAUGGUCCGGUGUGAAAAACUCCGGUGGUAUAGGAUGGACCCGCGUUGGAUUAGCCAGGUGGCAGGGUAACGGCCUACCAAAGCGACGAUCCAUAGCCGGCAUGAGAGGGAGAACGGCCACAUUGGGACUGAGACACGGCCCAGACUCCGACGGGAGGCAGCGGUGGGGAAUAUUGCACAAUGGGGGAAACCCUGAUGCAGCGACGCCGCGUGAAGGAAGAAGUAUCUCGGUAUGUAAACUUCUAUCAGCAGGGAAGAUAGUGACGGUACCUGACUAAGAAGCCCCGGCUAACUACGUG